GCAGAAGCCAAGGACCGUAGUUUACCAAACCCAUCUUGGCCUAUUUUUAGGAACGUAGUGCGGAGGUCGUUCAGAUGUAAGUUCUGAUGCGAUUGUUACGCGAUACUACACUCAUAAGAGUUUCUCUUGAGAAUAUUCUUGGAAUACGAGUAUUCGUUCCUCCGAUAAUAUUCGAAAGAUGGAACGAUGAUUAUGGGAACCUCUGAUAGAACAUGUCUGGCAGGUAAACCCUAGUACACUCCCUUUGGGUGGUUCUUAACCGAGACUCCAUGCUCG
rnacentral:lncRNA from 1 species